rnacentral:rRNA from 1 species
AACGAACGCUGGCGGCAUGCCUAGCACAUGCCAGUCGAACGAGACCUUCGGGUCUAGUGGCGCACGGGUGCGUAACGCGUGGGAACCUGCCCUUAGGUUCGGAAUAACUCCCCGAAAGGGGUGCUAAUACCGGAUAAUGUCUUCGGACCAAAGAUUUAUCGCCUUUGGAUGGGCCCGCGUUGGAUUAGCUAGUUGGUAGGGUAAAAGCCUACCAAGGCGACGAUCCAUAGCUGGUCUGAGAGGAUGAUCAGCCACACUGGGACUGAGACACGGCCCAGACUCCUACGGGAGGCAGCAGUGGGGAAUAUUGGACAAUGGGCGAAAGCCUGAUCCAGCAAUGCCGCGUGAGUGAUGAAGGCCUUAGGGUUGUAAAGCUCUUUUACCCGGGAUGAUAAUGACAGUACCGGGAGAAUAAGCUCCGGCUAACUCC